AUGCGUAAAAUUCUUCUACAGAGAACCUUUAUCAAUGCAAACCAAAGCUUGUGGAAUGAUAUGAAAAUGCAGAACAAGUUCGAUCCGCCGUGCACCGCUCAACCGUCGUUGCAGAUCCAGACGGUUUCACCUUCAUUGUUGUUUUCGGGACAUCCUUCAUUGCUGUACCUCUGUUUCUUGCUGUUUGCAACCCUUGAUUGUUUGGUUCUCAUCUUUGUUGGAGUUUCUCAUUGGCAUUCCUUCGAUCCUCUCCUAACAGUAGAUCUCGACUCUCCUAGCUCGAGACAAUUUGUUUCUCUUUAUGGACUCCUUAAGUAA